rnacentral:rRNA from 1 species
GACGAACGCUGGCGGCGUGCUUAACACAUGCAAGUCGAACGGAAAGGCCCUGCUUUUGUGGGGUGCUCGAGUGGCGAACGGGUGAGUAACACGUGAGUAACCUGCCCUUGACUUUGGGAUAACUUCAGGAAACUGGGGCUAAUACCGGAUAGGAGCUCCUGCUGCAUGGUGGGGGUUGGAAAGUUUCGGCGGUUGGGGAUGGACUCGCGGCUUAUCAGCUUGUUGGUGGGGUAGUGGCUUACCAAGGCUUUGACGGGUAGCCGGCCUGAGAGGGUGACCGGCCACAUUGGGACUGAGAGACGGCCCAGACUGCUACGGGGGGCAGCAGUGGGGAAUAUUGCACAAUGGGCGGAAGCCUGAUGCAGCAACGCCGCGUGCGGGAUGACGGCCUUCGGGUUGUAAACCGCUUUCGCCUGUGACGAAGCGUGAGUGACGGUAAUGGGUAAAGAAGCACCGGCUAACUACGUG